UGGGGAAUAUUGGACAAUGGGCGCAAGCCUGAUCCAGCAAUACCGCGUGAGUGAUGAAGGUCUUCGGAUUGUAAAGCUCUUUUAGUAGGGAAGAUAAUGACGGUACCUACAGAAAAAGCACCGGCAAACUUCGUGCCAGCAGCCGCGGUAAUACGAAGGGUGCUAGCGUUGUUCGGAAUCAUUGGGCGUAAAGCGUACGUAGGCGGCUUGAUAAGUCAAUUGUGAAAGCCCUAAGCUCAACUUAGGAAUUGCAAUUGAAACUGUCUCGCUCGAGUUUGGUGGGGGAUGGCAGAAUUCCUAGUGUAGGGGUGAAAUCCGUAGAUAUUAGGAGGAAUACCAGUGGCGAAGGCGGCCAUCUAUGCCAAUACUGACGCUAAGGUACGAAAGCGUGGGGAGCAAA
rnacentral:rRNA from 1 species